rnacentral:rRNA from 1 species
AUUGAACGCUGGCGGCAGGCCUAACACAUGCAAGUCGAGCGGAUGAAGGGAGCUUGCUCCUGGAUUCAGCGGCGGACGGGUGAGUAAUGCCUAGGAAUCUGCCUGGUAGUGGGGGAUAACGUCCGGAAACGGGCGCUAAUACCGCAUACGUCCUGAGGGAGAAAGUGGGGGAUCUUCGGACCUCACGCUAUCAGAUGAGCCUAGGUCGGAUUAGCUAGUUGGUGGGGUAAAGGCCUACCAAGGCGACGAUCCGUAACUGGUCUGAGGGGAUGAUCAGUCACACUGGAACUGAGACACGGUCCAGACUCCUACGGGAGGCAGCAGUGGGGAAUAUUGGGCAAUGGGCGAAAGCCUGAUCCAGCCAUGCCGCGUGUGUGAAGAAGGUCUUCGGAUUGUAAAGCACUUUAAGUUGGGAGGAAGGGCAGUAAGUUAAUACCUUGCUGUUUUGACGUUACCAACAGAAUAAGCACCGGCUAACUUCGUG